rnacentral:rRNA from 1 species
GACGAACGCUGGCGGCGUGCUUAACACAUGCAAGUCGAACGGAAAGGCCCUAGCUUGCUGGGGUACUCGAGUGGCGAACGGGUGAGUAACACGUGGGUGAUCUGCCUUGCACUCUGGGAUAAGCUUGGGAAACUGGGUCUAAUACCGGAUAGGAACCGUCUUUAGUGUGGUGGUUGGAAAGUUUUUUCGGUGCAAGAUGAGCUCGCGGCCUAUCAGCUUGUUGGUGGGGUAAUGGCCUACCAAGGCGUCGGCGGGUAGCCGGCCUGAGAGGGUGUACGGCCACAUUGGGACUGAGAUACGGCCCAGACUCCUACGGGAGGCAGCAGUGGGGAAUAUUGCACAAUGGGCGGAAGCCUGAUGCAGCGACGCCGCGUGGGGGAUGACGGCCUUCGGGUUGUAAACUCCUUUCGACAGGGACGAAGCGCAAGUGACGGUACCUGUAUAAGAAGCACCGGCUAACUACGUGCCAGCAGCCGCGGUAAUACGUAGGGUGCGAGCGUUGUCCGGAAUUACUGGGCGUAAAGAGCUCGUAGGUGGUUUGUCGCGUCGUCUGUGAAAUUCCGGGGCUUAACUCCGGGCGUGCAGGCGAUACGGGCAUAACUUGAGUGCUGUAGGGGAGACUGGAAUUCCUGGUGUAGCGGUGAAAUGCGCAGAUAUCAGGAGGAACACCGAUGGCGAAGGCAGGUCUCUGGGCAGUUACUGACGCUGAGGAGCGAAAGCAUGGGUAGCGAACAGGAUUAGAUACCCUGGUAGUCCAUGCCGUAAACGGUGGGCGCUAGGUGUAGGGGGCUUCCACGUCUUCUGUGCCGUAGCUAACGCAUUAAGCGCCCCGCCUGGGGAGUACGGCCGCAAGGCUAAAACUCAAAGGAAUUGACGGGGGCCCGCACAAGCGGCGGAGCAUGUGAAUUAAUUCGAUGCAACGCGAAGAACCUUACCUGGGCUUGACAUACACCAGAUCGCUGCAGAGAUGUAGUUUCCCUUGUGGUUGGUGUACAGGUGGUGCAUGGUUGUCGUCAGCUCGUGUCGUGAGAUGUUGGGUUAAGUCCCGCAACGAGCGCAACCCUUGUCUUAUGUUGCCAGCAUUUGGUUGGGGACUCAUGAGAGACUGCCGGGGUUAACUCGGAGGAAGGUGGGGAUGACGUCAAAUCAUCAUGCCCCUUAUGUCCAGGGCUUCACACAUGCUACAAUGGUCGGUACAACGUGCAGCGACACUGUGAGGUGGAGCGAAUCGCUGAAAGCCGGUCUUAGUUCGGAUUGGGGUCUGCAACUCGACCCCAUGAAGUCGGAGUCGCUAGUAAUCGUAGAUCAGCAAUGCUGCGGUGAAUACGUUCCCGGGCCU